ensembl:lncRNA
AUGAUGGAUCCUGAUGAGGAGAUUGUUAGUGGUGCUCGUCCUAAACGUCAUACUCGUCCACCAGCUCACCUUCAGCAGUAUGAAGUACAGUAUACCCGAGUCAGACCUGUCGCUGAGUAUGAUGUUCCGCAUCCUUUGGAGGCACCUGUCCGCCGGACUACCCCCCUAUCCUUCCAGCCUUACGCCACUCCCCCUGGUGGUGACCUGGUCUGUUCUGAUGGCUCACAGAUCAUAGCCUCAAAUUAUCAGCCUCCACAGCAUGCUGAAUUCCAUCAGUCAUCCUUCUCCUCGCCUCAAGCAGCUGGUUUGAUUUCCUCUGCACACGGCAGUGAAUUAGAGCACCUGCGUCAUGAGCAUGCACAACUUAUUCAGACUCAUCAGGCUUUCCAAGCAGACCUGAGGGAGCUGAGAGAAGUCCGUGCGGAAGUCAGAGAAUUAGUUCAAGUUGCUCAGUCACUUCGAGCUGACCUUAGUCUAACCAGAGGCCAGAAUCUCUCAUCAGCACAGCCACCAGCAUUGCAGCUAUCCAGUCCUCCUGUGAGGCGGUAUGAAUCCACACCUUUCGCGGAUGAGGGAAAUUUUGCGGAUCUUCCCCCACCACCCUGGCCUGAGCCUGACGUUGACUGGAUGAACCAGGUGGGUGACCUUACACUCUCCGACACGGGCGCCACUGUUUACCACCCAGUGAUGCCAGAGAAUAGAAAGUAUUCCUUUGUGUUCCCGGCUACUGAAACACGCCCUCCUAAGCCUUAUGCUCCUGACACUGGCGGGUUCCCCCCACCUCCAACCCCUAAAGAGCUUCGAGAGUUACUCACAUCUGCGGCCAUGCCCUUACCUGCUAACCGCACAACCGUGCCUGUUUCUUCACGAUUCAGUUCAGUACCUGCUCAUUUGAAUCCUCCAUCCUUUGCACCAAAGGCAGAGCCCGGCCUAUGUUCUGUAGCACCUCAUUCUAGGUCUGAAUAUUUAUACCGGGGACCUUCUCCCACGAUUCCUAAGUUCAGCCGGUCUGAUCCUGGCGAGUUUGCUCGGCUCCGGAUAGCUCUGGAGAACCUGCUUCCCCCAGAUGGGACUGAACUUUUCAAAUAUCAGAUCUUAGUGGAUCACCUUAAGCUGGAGGAGGCUAGAAUGAUAGCAGAUGCUUAUCUUAACUCACCAACUCCAUUCACUGAUACGAUGGCAGCACUUCAUGAUAAAUUUGGUCAACCACAUCAGCUAGCUUUAAGGAAGAUUGCUAGUGUCCUUGAGAGUCCUGACAUAAAGAGAGGCGAUAUAUCAGCCUUCCAAAGGUUUGCUCUCCAAGUGCAGUCAUUAGUGGGCCUAUUGAGAACUCUGGGACGUGAUGGUGAGCUGGAGUUGAGUUGUGGGUCCCACGUCGCACGCCUCCUGAGUAAGCUACCCCCUGAGCAGAGAGCUGAGUUUCGUCGACAUAUGUUCCGCCAACCUGGCACAACCCCUAAUCUGACUGAUCUUUCAAACUGGCUUCGUUACGAAACUUGGUGCCACAGUUAUGAUACUGAGCCGAUGCCCAAGGGUUCACAUGCAAAAUCAGAUUCAGGGAAGAGAACUGUGACCAUCCUACAUGGAGUUGGAGAAUCCCUGGUUGAGUCUCCCGUCCAUCAUAAAGGUCCUGUUUCACAGACCAAGCCUGCCAAAGUGAAACGUUAUUGUCCUUUCUGUGAUAAGACUGAGCAUUACCUGAGCCAGUGUGCCUCCUUCGCUAAGCUUACCUCAGACCAGGUCAGGACUUGGAUCCGCAGUAACAACCGUUGUUGGCGCUGUGCCAGGGCACACCAUGCUGCUCAGUGUGACCUUAAAAAGCCCUGCAACAUCUGCCAGGGCACCCAUCUCCGCCCUCUCCAUGAGGUGAAUGUUAGUCCAUCCCCAAAGGAGGAUCCAGCUAACAUGGAGAAGAGCUGCCUAACAAAUUCCUCCCCAGAUAGGUUCUUUCUGGAUAAACCCUCUGUCAAAGGACGAGUUAUGCUCAAAGUGGUUCCAGUGAAUCUGCAUUAUGAAGAUCGAUCCUUGGACACCUUCGCUCUUCUUGACGAUGGGUCAGAGAGAACCAUUCUACUCUCCACUGCAGUUAAGGCCUUAGGGAUUCAGGGUAACCCAGAAAAUCUUCCAUUGCGGACAGUGAGAGAUGAUAUUCAGGUCAUUCAUGGUUGCUCUAUUUCCUUUCAAGUCUCUCCCCUCUUUAAACCUCAGAUCAGUUAUAGGAUCAAUCAUGCCUUCACGGCUGAUCGUCUUAACCUGUCACGCCAGUCUUACCCAGUAGAACAGCUACAACAGAAGUACAGACAUCUGCGUGGUAUUCCCCUCCGUCCACUCACUGAUGUCCAACCUUUACUUCUCAUCGGUUCAGAUCAGCCCCAUCUCAUAACCCCAACAGAGCCUGUUCGAUGGGGCGGCCCGGGUGCACCAGCUGCAGUUCACACACGCUUAGGUUGGACACUCCAGGGUCCAAUACCUUCCAUGGGCUGUCCUCCUACCCCACAGCAGUGUCUGCUAACCUCUGUAGCUCCAAUUCAGGAUGAACUCCUUCAGAAUGUUCAACGACUGUGGCAGUUGGAUACGAUUCCACAGUGGGAGGGCAAAGAGGUAACCAGAUCCAAGCAGGAUCAGGAGGCUCUUCAGAUGCUUGACCAUAAGACUCUCACCCUGGAAAUGGAGGGAAUCAACAGGUUGGCUACACCCCUACUGCGGCGAAAGGACAUGCCUUUGUUGAAUGCACCUAAAGAAUCAGUCCUACCUACCCUUCGCAGUGUGGAGAGGCGUCUGCUGAAGGAGCCUGUCAAAGCUGAGGUCUAUAAAGAGGAGAUGAGGAAACUUAUUGAGACAGGAGCUGUUAGGAAGGUGACUGACAAUAUACCUGAUUCAGAUGAAUGCUGGUACAUCCCCCACCAUCUCGUUAGUCACAAUGGGAAGUUCCGCCUUGUCUUUAACUGCUCCUAUCAGUAUCAAGGACAAAGCCUUAAUCAGUACCUGCUGCCAGGCCCCACCCUUGGGGCCUCACUGUUGGGCGUCCUUAUCCGUUUCAGAGAACAUCCUGUGGCAGUGAGUGGGGAUAUUAAGGCGAUGUUCCAUCAGGUUCGCCUUAUACCUGAGGACCGUCCUCUACUCCGUUUCCUUUGGCGGGACCUAAAGAUGGAUGAGGCACCCACAAUUCUUGAGUGGCAGGUAUUACCCUUCGGCACAACAUCCAGUCCUUGUUGUGCUACCUAUGCACUACAGCGUCACGUGCGGCAACACCCCCUGACGGAUGAGGCAAUUAGAUUCUCAGUGGAGAGGUGUUUCUAUGUCGAUAACUGCCUGCAGAGCCUGCCUACUGCAGAUGAAGCUCGGGACUUGAUUGAUCGACUACGGAAUAUCCUUUCCGGAGCUGGAUUCGAAAUUCGCCAAUGGGCCUGCAAUGAUCCUACUGUGCUGAGUCACCUACCUUCCCAUGCACAAGCUGCAAGUGUGGAGUUGUGGUUGACGCAGGAGAAGUCUGACAUCCCUGAAUCGACACUGGGUCUUAGCUGGAACUGGCAGACGGACACUUUGUCCUACAAACACCGACCUGUGAUCUAUGAGACUCCAACUUUGAGGAACCUCUACAAGGUCCUAGCUACCCAGUACGACCCCCUGGGAUGGCUUCUACCUUAUUCCACUCGGGCAAAAGUCAUUAUUAAGCAGCUGUGGAACAAGCCGAGAGGAUGGGAUGACCCCAACCUACCACCUGAGCUCCUCCAGUCCUGGAAUGCAUGGGAGGACGAACUCCAAUACCUUCCUUGCAUCUCCUUUCCCCGGUCUUAUGUUCCUCCUGAAGUUGUGAGGGACGGAGUCACCCAUGAGGUACAUAUCUUCUCGGAUGCCUCUGAGCAGGCAUAUGGAGCGGUGGCCUACCUCCGGACUACUGACCAGGAUGGUCGGACCUACCUGUCCUUCAUUAUAGCACGCUCUCGUGUCACUCCUAAACGAGCUCACUCCAUUCCAAGACUGGAACUCUGUGGUAGUCUAGUUGCGGCACAGCUGGCUAAACUACUGGAGACAGAGUUAACCCUACCAAUCAAAUCUAUUUCCCUGUGGACAGACUCUACUACGGUCCUCCAGUGGUUGAAUUCUGACUCCUGCCGUUAUAGAGUCUUUGUGGGGAACAGAAUCGCUGAGAUCCAGGAGCUGACGGAGAAGUGUUCCUGGCAUCAUGUAAGUUCUGCAGACAACCCCGCUGAUGACCUCACGAAGGGAAGACCUCUCCAAUACCUUGCUGUGCCAAACCGAUGGUCUCAAGGACCCCCUUUCCUCCUCCAAGAUCCCAAGGAAUGGCCAGUAAUCCCUAAGACUGAAACCAGGGAAGACCAGGUUGAAUUACGGAAAUCUACCUUCUGUGGGAUCAGUACCUUUCCGCUCUCAUCUGGUAAGAUUAAUGGAUGGAAUUACAACACCUGGCAAGAACUAUUGGAUGUCACUGCUCAAGAACUUCGGGUCAAUUUGGCUCCAGGGACUUCUCCAGAGGCUGAAGAUUACCGCCAGGCUGAGUUCCAUAUCCUCAAACAGGUUCAGCAGGAAUCUUUCCCUGAGGAUUAUAAACUGUUAGAGACUGGGAAGACAGUUAAGUCCGGGAGUCGAUUAGUUACCCUAGCCCCUGAAAUGGAUCCGUCCAGUGAUCUGAUAAGGGUGGGAGGUCGUUUGCGGAGAACUGCAGGCAUUGAGGACUCCAUUUUACAUCCUCUGGUUCUGGAUCCUAACCACCCUGUCACUCGUUUGAUUAUUCAACAUUAUGAUGACCAGUUGCAUCAUCCUGGAUCGGAACGGUUGUUCGGGGAAAUACGGAGAUACUAUUGGAUUCUCCGAGGUCGCGAAGCUGUCCGCCGGUUUCAACGUGACUGCCCAGAAUGUCAACGUUGGAGGGCCCAACCAACAAUCCCUAAGAUGUCGGAUCUACCGGUGGCGCGCCUUCAGCUAUACAAACCGGCCUUCUAUUCUUGCGGAAUGGACUGCUUUGGCCCCCUGUUAGUCAAAAUUGGAAGACGUACAGAGAAGCGCUGGGGCAUUCUCUUUAAAUGUCUGACCACUAGAGCUGUCCAUUUAGACCUACUCCCUAGCCUGAGUACCGACUCAUUCCUCAUGGCUUUAAGAAGGUUUGUUGCAAGGAGAGGAACGCCAGCAGAAUUAUGGUCAGAUCGAGGUACGAACUUCCGCGGGGGUGAAAGGGAGUUACGGGAAGCUUAUGCUGCUUUGGUUCCUGACGUACAGGGUCAUCUUGCCCGCCAGAGGAUCCACUUCCGCUUUAAUCCUCCAGCGGCCCCUCAUUUUGGUGGAGUUUGGGAGAGGGAAGUGAGAUCGGUUAAAUCUGCCUUAUACACAGUUUUGGGUGCACAGUCAGUACCAGAGGAAGUCUUAAUGACGGUCUUGCUGGAAGUGGAGGCCAUCCUUAAUUCAAAACCCUUAGGAUACGUGUCGUCAGACGUGGCAGAUGCUGACCCAGUAACUCCAAAUAGUCUCCUCAUGGGGCGGCCUGAUGGAUCUCUGCCGCAAGUCGUUUAUCCAGAAUCAGAGAUAUUAAGUCGCCGGCACUGGAGACAUUCUCAGGUCCUAGCGGACCGAUUCUGGUCCAGGUUCAUACGGGACUACCUCCCUAGCCUCCAAACCCGGCAGAAAUGGCAAACCUCUCCUCCCAGCCUAAAGGAACAGACAUUUGUUGUGAUUGUAGACCCCCAACUACCGCGAAGCUCAUGGCCUGUAGGACAAGUGAUCAAGACUCACCAAAGCCCAGAUGGUCAUAUCAGAUCAGCUGAUGUGUUGAUAAAGGGUCAAGUUUAUACCCGACCGGUAGCUCGCCUGGUCAUCUUGCCGGCCUUACCAAAGGAUGGACUUAAUGCCCCAACACUGACUAGUUAA